AUUGAACGCUGGCGGCAUGCUUUACACAUGCAAGUCGAACGGUAACAGGCCGCAAGGUGCUGACGAGUGGCGAACGGGUGAGUAAUGCAUCGGAACGUGCCCAGUCGUGGGGGAUAACGCAGCGAAAGCUGUGCUAAUACCGCAUACGAUCUAUGGAUGAAAGCGGGGGGCCGUAAGGCCUCGCGCGAUUGGAGCGGCCGAUGUCAGAUUAGGUAGUUGGUGGGGUAAAGGCCUACCAAGCCGACGAUCUGUAGCUGGUCUGAGCGGACGACCAGCCACACUGGGACUGGGACGCGGCCCAGACUCCUACGGGAGGGAGCAGUGGGGAAUUUUGGACAAUGGGCGCAAGCCUGAUCCAGCAAUGCCGCGUGCAGGAAGAAGGCCUUCGGGUUGUAAACUGCUUUUGUACGGAACGAAACGGUCUGAGUUAAGACCCUGGGCUAAUGACGGUACCGUAAGAAUAAGCACCGGCUAACUACGUGCCAGCCGCCGCGGUAACAC
rnacentral:rRNA from 1 species